rnacentral:rRNA from 1 species
UAAGGAAUAUUGGUCAAUGGGCGGGAGCCUGAACCAGCCAUGCCGCGUGCAGGAAGACUGCCCUCUGGGUUGUAAACUGCUUUUGUACGGGAACAACCGCAGGUACGUGUACCUGUCUGAGUGUACCGUAAGAAUAAGGAUCGGCUAACUCCGUGCCAGCAGCCGCGGUAAUACGGAGGAUCCGAGCGUUAUCCGGAAUUAUUGGGUUUAAAGGGUGCGUAGGCGGCAUUUUAAGUCAGGGGUGAAAUACAGCGGCUCAACCGUUGCAGUGCCUUUGAUACUGAAGUGCUUGAAUAUGGUCGAAGGCGGCGGAACGGGACAAGUAGCGGUGAAAUGCAUAGAUAUGUCCCAGAACCCCGAUUGCGAAGGCAGCUGCCUAGGCCAUCAUUGACGCUGAUGCACGAAAGCGUGGGGAUCGAACAGG